GACGAACGCUGGCGGCGUGCUUAACACAUGCAGGCGGACCGGAAAGGCCCUGCUUUUGUGGGGGGCUCGAGUGGGGAAGGGGGGGGUACCACGUGAGUACCCUGCCCUGGACUUUGGGUUAACUUAAGGAAACUGGGGCUAAUACGGGAAAGGAGCUCCUGCGGCAGGGUGGGGGUUGGAAAGUUUCGGCGGUUGGGGAUGGACUCGCGGCUUAUCAGCUUGUUGGUGGGGUAGGGGCUUACCAAGGCUUUGACGGGUAGCCGGCCUGAGAGGGUGACCGGCCACAUUGGGACUGAGAUACGGCCCAGACUCCUACGGGAGGCAGCAGUGGGGAAUAUUGCACAAUGGGCGGAAGCCUGAUGCAGCAACGCCGCGUGCGGGAUGACGGCCUUCGGGUUGUAAACCGCUUUCGCCUGUGACGAAGCGUGAGUGACGGUAAUGGGUAAAGAAGCACCGGCUAACUACGUG
rnacentral:rRNA from 1 species